GGAUGUGUUUUUCGAUUUUCACAUAUUGAUCGUCGCCCUGUCUGAAUGAAACAUAUACUCGUCUAAUGGAAUAAUAAUGAAAUUACUUUUGUGUAGUACUACUAACAUCAGUGGUGGCUCGUGAGCCUUGUAAGGCGGUGAGGCGAAUGUUUUAAAAAUUACAAGGUGAACGAGUAUCAGAGGCCUGCUCACAAGCGGGAUGACUGUGUCAUAUGUCCUAUAUUAACUUUUUUUUUCUUCAGUAUACGUCAUAAUAUAUAGAAAAAAACUAUAAGUGGAUCAAAAAUACAAAAAAACGAGGUGCUGUUAUCAUUAAAAGUAUUAUUUGUUGAUAUUAUG